UACAGAGGUUGCAAGCGUUAAUCGGAUUUACUGGGCGUAAAGCGUGUGUAGGUGGCUGUACAAGUCGGUUGUGAAAUCCCUGGGCUCAACCCGGGAACUGCUUCCGAGACUGUACGACUAGAGAUCGGUAGAGGGCGGUGGAAUUUCCGGUGUAGCGGUGAAAUGCGUAGAUAUCGGAAGGAACAUCAAUGGCGAAGGCAGCCGCCUGGGCCUGAUCUGACACUGAGACACGAAAGCGUGGGGAUCAAAC
rnacentral:rRNA from 1 species